UGGUGGAGUGAUUUGUCUGGUUAAUUCCGUUAACGAACGAGACCUCAGCCUGCUAAAUAGCCAGGCGAACAAUUCGUUGUUCGUAAAUUACUGUGCUUCUUAGAGGGACAUUCGGUGUUUAGCCGAAGGAAGUUUGAGGCAAUAACA
rnacentral:rRNA from 1 species